GCAUUGGUGAUACAGUGGUAGAAUUCUCACCUUUAAUCUGGGAAGCCUGGGUUUGAUUCCCAGUCAGCGCA
rnacentral:tRNA from 1 species